rnacentral:miRNA from 1 species
CCAGAUGUGGUGCAGGCAAUGU